CGGACGGGUGAGUAAUGUCUGGGAAACUGCCCGAUGGAGGGGGAUAACUACUGGGAACGGUAGCUAAUACCGCAUAACGUCGCAAGACCAAAGAGGGGGACCUUAGGGCCUCUUGCCAUCGGAUGUGCCCAGAUGGGAUUAGCUAGUAGGUGGGGUAAUGGCUCACCUAGGCGACGAUCCCUAGCUGGUCUGAGAGGAUGACCAGCCACACUGGAACUGAGACACGGUCCAG
rnacentral:rRNA from 1 species